UACGUAGGGUGCAAGCGUUGUCCGGAAUUAUUGGGCGUAAAGAGCUCGUAGGCGGUUUGUCGCGUCGGAUGUGAAAAUCCAGGGCUCAACCCUGGACCUGCAUUCGAUACGGGCAGACUAGAGUUCGGUAGGGGAGACUGGAAUUCCUGGUGUAGCGGUGAAAUGCGCAGAUAUCAGGAGGAACACCGGUGGCGAAGGCGGGGCUCUGGGCCGAAACUGACGCUGAGGAGCGAAAGCGUGGGGAGCAAACAGG
rnacentral:rRNA from 1 species